rnacentral:rRNA from 1 species
CAGCCAAGUCGUGAGGCGGAGCUAAUCCCUUAAAGCCAUUCUCAGUUCGGAUUGUAGGCUGAAACUCGCCUACAUGAAGCUGGAGUUACUAGUAAUCGCAGAUCAGAAUGCUGCGGUGAACGCGUUCCCGGGUCUUGUACACACCGCCCGUCACACCACGGAAGUUGGGGGCGCCCGAAGCCACUUAGCUAACCCUUUUGGGAAGCGAGUGUCGAAGGUGAAAUCAAUAACUGGGGUGAAGUCGUAACAAGGUAUC